rnacentral:rRNA from 1 species
AACGUAGGAGGCAAGCGUUAUCCGGAUUAACUGGGCGUAAAGGGCGGGUAGGUGGUUGUGUAAGUUGGUUAUGAAAGCUCCUGGCUAAACUGGGAGAGGUUGACCAAGACUGCAGAACUUGAGUGGAGAAGAGGUAAACGGAAUUCCGCGUGUAGUGGUGAAAUGCGUAGAGAUGCGGAAGAACACCAGUGGCGAAGGCGGUUUACUGGUCUCCAACUGACACUGAGCCGCGAAAGCAUGGGUAGCGAACGGG